GAUGAACGCUGGCGGCGUGCCUAAUACAUGCAAGUCGAGCGAACAGACGAGGAGCUUGCUCCUCUGACGUUAGCGGCGGACGGGUGAGUAACACGUGGAUAACCUACCUAUAAGACUGGGAUAACUUCGGGAAACCGGAGCUAAUACCGGAUAAUAUAUUGAACCGCAUGGUUCAAUAGUGAAAGACGGUUUUGCUGUCACUUAUAGAUGGAUCCGCGCCGCAUUAGCUAGUUGGUAAGGUAACGGCUUACCAAGGCAACGAUGCGUAGCCGACCUGAGAGGGUGAUCGGCCACACUGGAACUGAGACACGGUCAAUACGCCUACGGGAGGCAGCAGUAGGGAAGCUUCCGCAAUGGGCGAAAGCCUGACGGAGCAACGCCGCGUGAGUGAUGAAGGUCUUCGGAUCGUAAAACUCUGUUAUGAGGGAAGAACAAAUGUGUAAGUAACUAUGCACGUCUUGACGGUACCUAAUCAGAAAGCCACGGCUAACUACGUG
rnacentral:rRNA from 1 species